CAGUCACAGUCAACAUCUGUGAAAAGAGGCACACAUUUAAGACCUUGAGCUGAUUAAGAAAUGCAAUCCAGAUACUGAAGGUCACUUGAAGAGAGAGCCCGGCACUGAGUACUACAACGCUCCGGGACAUGCCCUUACAUGUCCACCUGAGGAAAGGAUUUGGAGGUGGAUUGACAAUGCAAAAAUGGACAAACUUCCAAGACCCAUCGGACUCAGACAGACAGGUGGCUUGCAAGGG